AUGAACGCUGGCGGUCUGCUUAACACAUGCAAGUCGAACGCAACCUUCGGGUUGAGUGGCGGACGGGUGAGUAACGCGUGAGAAUCUGCCUUAGGGUCGGGGACAACCACUGGAAACGGUGGCUAAUACCGGAUAAGCCAAUUGGUAAAAGAUUUAUUGCCCGAAGAGGAGCUCGCGUCUGAUUAGCUAGUUGGUGAGGUAAGAGCUCACCAAGGCAGCGAUCAGUAGCUGGUCUGAGAGGACGAUCAGCCACACUGGGACUGAGACACGGCCCAGACUCCUACGGGAGGCAGCAGUGGGGAAUUUUCCGCAAUGGGCGAAAGCCUGACGGAGCAAGACCGCGUGAGGGAGGAAGGCUCUUGGGUUGUAAACCUCUUUUCUCAGGGAAGAAGCUCUGACGGUACCUGAGGAAUAAGCCUCGGCUAACUCCGUGCCAGCAGCCGCGGUAAUACGGAGGAGGCAAGCGUUAUCCGGAAUUAUUGGGCGUAAAGCGUCCGCAGGUGGCGAUUCAAGUCUGCUGUCAAAGCACGGGGCUUAACUCCGUUAAGGCAGUGGAAACUGAAUAGCUAGAGUGCCGUAGGGGUAGAGGGAAUUCCCAGUGUAGCGGUGAAAUGCGUAGAGAUUGGGAAGAACACCGGUGGCGAAAGCGCUCUACUGGGCCGUAUCUGACACUCAGGGACGAAAGCUAGGGUAGCGAAUGGGAUUAGAUACCCCAGUAGUCCUAGCUGUAAACGAUGGAAACUAGGCGUGGCUUGUAUCGACCCGAGCCGUGCCGAAGCUAACGCGUUAAGUUUCCCGCCUGGGGAGUACGCACGCAAGUGUGAAACUCAAAGGAAUUGACGGGGGCCCGCACAAGCGGUGGAGUAUGUGGUUUAAUUCGAUGCAACGCGAAGAACCUUACCAGGGCUUGACAUGUCGCGAAUCUCGGUGAGAGCUGAGAGUGCCUUC
rnacentral:rRNA from 1 species